CUUGCAGAAAUUCGACAGGGAAGAAAAGCAAGUCACCAGGGACUGUAUCCUUGAUUAGUGGCUGCGAUCCUGCAACACACUUCAUCCUGCCCAAUCCCCAUCGAUGUUGGCAUUUUCCUACUCAAUUGAUGUCCUCAUAUUUUCCCUGCUCCAUCUACACACCAUAUAUUUCCUCAGAGUUAUUUUUACUUCUGAAAACAGCAUGUGGAAUUAAUCAUUUGAAUCAUCGUGACUAAGAGGAGAAUAAUCACAAAUAGAGAGUAAGUUGUUUCUUAGAUGAGUGUCCUUUAACCCUUUUUAGGAAGUUAAGAAAAAGCAUUUCAUAGCUUCAGUGUAAUAGAGUACAUCUGAAUUUGUAAAUGCUAGAUAAUCAGGAUUGAAAAUCUGACAUACAAAAUAGGCUGGUUUAACUCCUCAAUUAAUGGCUAUAGAUAUCAUAUGUGACCUACUAUCUGAGGCAUUAACACUUGACAUGGGAUCCACUCAUAUGAAACAAAAUCUCUGACCCUUAUUUCUGGGGUAACAGAAGCUGUAGGAACUUGUUAUGGUGUGUAAAUUCUGUAUUUUUUAAAAGGAGAAAUAAUUGAAAGAAAUAUUCUAGUAGUGCCACAUUUCAACUUUGCACGUAUUUUUUAAAUGUAAAAAGUUUCCAACAUCAUUUCUAUGCCUGGUAUCUGAUGUGUUUGUGAGUAAAGACUGCCUUUGUUUUUCUCGUCCUUUCUUUUUAAAGAAAUGAACUUCCACAUUAUGAAGUUACCUGUGAGUCCUUAGUGUCCUGUAUCUCACGUAGGGACUUCCCCAGUGAAAGAUAAUUCAUUUCAAAGGCUUUUCAUUCUGUGGAAAUAAAUUUUAUUAUUGAUAAGAACAAUUGUAAAAUAAUUCUGAAGAGUAUUCUUUAUAAGAAAUCUGUUACUUUAUCUAAACCACAGCCAUGAAUUAGAUUUAGUUUAGUGAGUUAAAACACAGACCCAGUUGAACUGUUUUACCUACUUGUUAAUGACAGAGAGCCAUCCAAUCUAUAGACAAUAGGAAAUAUCAAUCAUUAAAUGCACAUAGAUUUUUUUCUAUAACAUCAACCAUUAAAUUUAGCACCAUAUUUUGAUCAAUUUAUUUACGGUAUCAUUUCUACAAAUGCUGAUAAACAAUAUGCAAAUUAAUAUCUUAGUAUUUGAUUUAAAAAUUUUAUGUUGGAAGGUUGAUAUUAAUUUUCUAUCCAAAAAUUCUGCUUUGCAAACAAUUUUGCUUCUUAUGAAACAGUAAAUUUUGGAGAUCCCCUUUAUAAGACCAAUGGUCAGAAGAAGAUUAAAAGAUUUAAAAAGCUGGUUUUCAAAUUGGGGGGGAAAUGUAGG
rnacentral:lncRNA from 1 species